CGGCCAGCACUCGGCGAGACCGUGAGGGUCCCGGCAGUCUCCGCUGGUACACCGAGCUGUGUGUUACCCGUUCCUCUCGCUUGUUGUAUCACGUUCUCGCCCCGUAAUCGACGCGCGUCCCCAUCUGACAGACCCUCUGGUUCGCGGCGGCACGUCGUCGUUCACACACGCGUACACCCUGUAUACGUAUACACACACACACACACACACACAUACACACAGACACACACACACAAACUUACGUCUAUGUGUAUAUAUAUAUAUGUAGGAGUAGAGAGAGAUAGAGGGAGAUAGAGAGAGAGAGAGAGAGAGAGAGAGAGAGAGAGAGAGAGAAAGGGAGAGAUAUAUACACUGGUGACCCAGCAGCAUACACAACAACCCUCUCGACACGCACACGCGAACAACAACGUUGUCAACCGAGUGUGUCCGUGCACACUCCAUCCGCCGGCACACGCAACCUCGCGCGCAUACGGGCCAACGUAACAUCCUACGGAAGGAUAUAAAGGAGGAAAAGUCCGACGCGGGUGUUCGAGCAGUGUUCGAGGAUCAAACCGAAUCGAAUCGUACUCGGGCCGUGCACGGUUCAAUCGGGGCCACGAGCGAUUUUCGCGACUCUCGAGUGAAAAAAGAAGGAAAGAAAAGAAAGAAAGGAAAGAAAGGAUACGCCACGCGAGCAAGAGAUACAAGAGAUACACACGGCGAGGCCCAGGUGCGAACGGGGGCUCCUUCCUUCGAUUAGUCGUCCAGGAAUAACACGUGCAGAUCGUACGACGACUCGAGGCGGUGACUGAACGCAAGGCAAAACCACGCAAGGAGAACGGAGCAGGAGCUACGGUGAGAGGGGAGGAGUGUGGAUACGCAACGGCCAGGAUAUUCCGAGGGUGUAACGGAACUAGUGAUCUUCCACUGACGUCAUUUCGUGCUUUCGUGCUUCGCUCGAGGGACGAGAAUAGUGUUUGCUGGCCCGUUUGCUGAAGACACGUGAGUAUCGAACGUUCUCUUCUCCGCUCCAAGUGGAACUAUGGACGAUUCUUACGUUGGAUCGUGAUCACGCGGCGGUAUAGUAACUCACACCGUAGUAGAUCUCACCUACAUUACUCCUUUGCACCAUCACUGUCAGCGUACACACCGCGUCACGCGGCCGGAUAAUUUAUGCGUAAUUAUCCGCGGUACGAAUUCUGUAACGUGUCACGCGAUCCGAGCACGAUUCCACUUCGUAACGGCUUUAGCCACAACUGGUGGCGCAGUGAUCGCGUCUCCGAACCUUCGAUUAUCGCAAUCAGCGCGACGUUCGAUACAUCGAAUCGAUGACUCCGACGAAUCACCGUUCAAGACGACAUGUUUUUCAAAUGUCGUGCGUUUCGUUUCGAUUUCUCGAGUCGAUGUGUCGUCGUUCUUUGGACUGAUCACGAAAUAAUAAGAAAGAUGACAGCGAUGUAACGCAGUUGGUUACAUGAUAAAAGUCGACGUACGCUUCUUCGAUUUGAGGUUAGUUCCGGAAAUGUACUUUUACGUCGUAUAUCGUAUUAAUUGAGCCAGAGCAGUUUCAUUGUAUGACGUAGCUGUUUAG